rnacentral:rRNA from 1 species
UACGGGGGGGGUAAGCGUUGUUCGGAAUUACUGGGCGUAAAGGGCUCGUAGGCGGUUCGUCACGUCGGGAGUGAAAACUCGGAGCUUAACUCCGAGCCUGCUUCCGAUACGGGCAGACUAGAGGUAGGCAGGGGAGAGCGGAACUCCUGGUGUAGCGGUGGAAUGCGCAGAUAUCAGGAAGAACACCGGUGGCGAAGGCGGCUCUCUGGGCCUUACCUGACGCUGAGGAGCGAAAGCGUGGGUAGCGAACAGG